rnacentral:lncRNA from 1 species
GUCUCCUGAGCAAGGUUCUUUCGUAUGAAUGGGGCUUCCUCCCUGAUCAACAAUGUCUGUGCGCUCCUUAUCAAGAUGCCAUGGAGGAUUUGGAGCACUGCUUACUUUUCUGUCCUCGCAUUAUAGAGAUCUAGGAGACCUUACAGGCUGAGCACUUAUCUGAUCUUUAUUUCAACACUUUAGAGGAUCUCAUCAAGCUAACUAUUGAUUCCAGAAUCCCUCAUC